rnacentral:lncRNA from 1 species
UGGUAGGGGGAGCUGCAUUGAUUGAUUAAUAUGUUUCUACUGAUGCAUUUCUGAAAAAUCAUUUAUCAGUAUAUCAUUAUCAUAGAGCAUACCUUUUUUGCUAAUGCACAAAGGGGGAGAAAAAUUGAAUAUGACAGUUGGAUAUGAAUGUUUAAUUUCUUAUUGCUUGAUGCUUGAUUGGUUGAUAUUGUUGGAUACUGAUAUAUUCA